rnacentral:rRNA from 1 species
UGAGGAAUAUUGGACAAUGGGUGCAAGCCUGAUCCAGCCAUCCCGCGUGCAGGAAGACGGCCUUAUGGGUUGUAAACUGCUUUUAUACAAGGAUAAACCUACUCUCGUGAGAGUAGCUGAAGGUACUGUAUGAAUAAGCAUCGGCUAACUCCGUGCCAGCAGCCGCGGUAAUACGGAGGAUGCAAGCGUUAUCCGGAUUUAUUGGGUUUAAAGGGUCUGUAGGUGGAUAAAUAAGUCAGUGGUGAAAGCCUAUUGCUUAACAAUAGAAUUGCCAUUGAUACUGUUUAUCUUGAGUAUAUUUGAAGUAGCUAGAAUGUGUAGUGUAGCGGUGAAAUGCAUAGAUAUUACACAGAAUACCGAUUGCGAAGGCAGGUUACUAAGAUAUAACUGACACUGAGAGACGAAAGCGUGGGGAGCGAACA